rnacentral:lncRNA from 1 species
AUGUGUGUUGAGAUGAGUGAAGCGUGCAUUGCAGAGAAUCUUGAAGAACUGGUGAUGAUGUUGAUUCCAGGAAGGUGCAGAGAUUCCCUACUGAAGGUUGGAGAAAGAAGGAGAGGACUUUUCUUUUAUAGAGAAUCAUCUUUGAGGGCUGCCACAAUUUGGAUUCAAGUUUGGUGCAUGCCUGGAACCGUUUUGGCACGAUUUUGA